rnacentral:ncRNA from 1 species
GCAGAGUAAAUAUCCGUGCGUUAAGUGUCCGGCAGACGGGGAGUUGCUGCCUGAACGAAAAGAUUUUCUUGCGGUACGGAUAUUGCAUCCCGCUGC